CCGGCAAAGUUUGCGCCCGAUGCCAUUAAGGUUGAGGGCACGUCUGCCUGGGUGUCACAUAUCGAAGCCUCCUGCCAAUUUCCCUUAGAUUAUUGUGUAGGGUGGAUGUUGGCCUCCCGUGAGCUCGUCUCAUGGUUGGUUGAAAAUUGAGACCUUGGUAGGGUGUGCCAUGAUAGAUGGUGGUUGUGUGACCCACGAGACCAAUCAUGCGCUACUCUAUUUAAUUUGGCCUCUUUUACCCAUAUGCGUUACUAAACGCUCGUGAUGAGACCUCAGGUCAGGCGGGGCUACCCGCUGAAUUUAAGCAUAUCAAUAAGCGGAGGAAAAGAAACUAACAAGGAUUCCCUUAGUAACGGCGAGCGAACCGGGAUAAGCCCACCAUGAGAAUCGGUCGCCCUCGGCGUUCGGAAUUGUAGUCGGAAAAAAACCCUUCAAAUCAAA
rnacentral:rRNA from 1 species